rnacentral:rRNA from 1 species
AUUGAACGCUGGCGGCAGGCCUAACACAUGCAAGUCGAGCGGGGUUUUCGGACCUAGCGGCGGACGGGUGAGUAAUGCGUAGGAAGCUACCCGAUAGAGGGGGAUACCAGUUGGAAACGACUGUUAAUACCGCAUAAUGUCUACGGACCAAAGUGUGGGACCUUCGGGCCACAUGCUAUCGGAUGUGCCUACGUGGGAUUAGCUAGUUGGUGAGGUAAUGGCUCACCAAGGCGACGAUCCCCAGCUGGUUUGAGAGGAUGAUCAGCCACACUGGAACUGAGACACGGUCCAGACUCCUACGGGAGGCAGCAGUGGGGAAUAUUGGACAAUGGGCGCAAGCCUGAUCCAGCCAUGCCGCGUGUGUGAAGAAGGCCUUCGGGUUGUAAAGCACUUUCAGCGAGGAGGAAGGGGUGUGUGUUAAUAGUACACACCUUUGACGUUACUCGCAGAAGAAGCACCGGCUAACUCUGUGCCAGCCGCCGCCGUAACAC